UUACUGUUUCUGGCCAGUUCUGCUCCUACAUAGUCCUGUUGAUGUCAAGGGGUCAACUUGCAAGAUAAAAGGGGUAAAAAGUGCCAUCUCCACUUCGGACUGCACAAGGUGAACUGAAUGUUUGAUACGAACCUUCAAAAUUGGGCGCACAAACAAUUCCUGAAUGAUGGAGGAGCUCUCUGGCCGUUCACCUUGUCCUGCCUGCAGCCCUUUGUCUGACAAAACCCUUGGGACGGAGGGAAGAGGGAAAGGCAGAGGCCUCAACUGGGACGGAAUAGCUGGAGUCUCUGCAGUGGAGAGAUGUG